rnacentral:rRNA from 1 species
CGUACACUCCUACGGGAGGCAGCAGUGGGGAAUAUUGGACAAUGGGGGCAACCCUGAUCCAGCCAUGCCGCGUGAGUGAUGAAGGCCCUAGGGUUGUAAAGCUCUUUUGUGCGGGAAGAUAAUGACGGUACCGCAAGAAUAAGCCCCGGCUAACUUCGUGCCAGCAGCCGCGGUAAUACGAAGGGGGCUAGCGUUGCUCGGAAUCACUGGGCGUAAAGGGUGCGUAGGCGGGUCUUUAAGUCAGGGGUGAAAUCCUGGAGCUCAACUCCAGAACUGCCUUUGAUACUGAGGAUCUUGAGUCCGGAAGAGGUGAGUGGAACUGCGAGUGUAGAGGUGAAAUUCGUAGAUAUUCGCAAGAACACCAGUGGCGAAGGCGGCUCACUGGUCCGGUACUGACGCUGAGGCACGAAAGCGUGGGGAGCAAACAGGAUUAGAAACCCCUGUAGUCCCAUG